ensembl:ncRNA lncRNA:CR44611 long non-coding RNA:CR44611
UUCCAUCGUUUGUUUGCUCACGAGUCUCGCAACAAAGUCAAUAUUUCCUUUUUCGUCAGUCAGUGUAUCGCCUUUGAUAAAUUCAAACAAAUUGCAGAUUGAAAAGUCAAUCUAGAGCAGGCCAGACAAGUCGGGAGAUCGUUGGAUCGGCGGAUUGCUGGAUUGGUGUGGCAGCUACGUUUCAAUCUCUUGGGCAAUCUAGCGGCGAUCUAUCGGUGCGUGUGGGCGUUGCAAUUAGAAGAGGCAGACAGCCCCGACACUUGCAGCCCCUCUCAAAGUCCGAUCCCCUCAACUUGAACCAGACAUGUUCUGCAAUUCGACGUCUCGACCGGCAAUCAGUUUCUCGAUCGAUUCCCCUGACGAUGAUGUUGAUGCAUCAGUUCGCAUUUCCGGCAUUUGCCGUGCAACUGCAACAUGUUGCAGCGAGUUUGUGUUGUGAAUGGGCGAUUUAAUUGGUAGGCGCCUUCUUGACUAGGGUUGUAAUAAGAUUUUUUCAAAAUUGAUU